AUUGAACGCUGGCGGCAUGCCUUACACAUGCGAGUCGAACGGCAUCGCGGGAAAGCUUGCUUUCCUGGCGGCGAGUGGCGAACGGGUGAGUAACACAUCGGAACGUACCGGCUAGUGGGGGAUAACCCGUCGAAAGACGGGCUAAUACCGCAUACGCUCUUCGGAGGAAAGCAGGGGACCUUUGGGCCUUGCGCUAGUCGAGCGGCCGAUGUCCGAUUAGCUAGUUGGUGGGGUAAAGGCCUACCAAGGCGACGAUCGGUAGCGGGUCUGAGAGGACGAUCCGCCACACUGGGACUGAGACACGGCCCAGACUCCUACGGGAGGCAGCAGUGGGGAAUCUUGGACAAUGGGGGCAACCCUGAUCCAGCAAUGCCGCGUGGGUGAAGAAGGCCUUCGGGUUGUAAAGCCCUUUCGGCAGGGAAGAAAUCGGCGGGGCGAAUAACCCUGCUGGAUGACGGUACCUGCAGAAGAAGCACCGGCUAACUACGUG
rnacentral:rRNA from 1 species